rnacentral:piRNA from 1 species
UAGUCAUACAAGCAGACAAAACACUCAUACA